GUGGGGAAUCUUGCGCAAUGGGCGAAAGCCUGACGCAGCCAUGCCGCGUGAAUGAUGAAGGUCUUAGGAUUGUAAAAUUCUUUCACCGGGGACGAUAAUGGCGGUACCCGGAGAAGAAGCUCCGGCUAACUUCGUGCCAGCAGCCGCGGUAAUACGAAGGGGGCUAGCGUUGCUCGGAAUUACUGGGCGUAAAGGGCGCGUAGGCGGACAGCUUAGUCAGAGGUGAAAGCCCAGGGCUCAACCUUGGAAUUGCCUUUGAUACUGGCUGUCUUGAGUACGGGAGAGGUGAGUGGAACUCCGAGUGUAGAGGUGAAAUUCGUAGAUAUUCGGAAGAACACCAGUGGCGAAGGCGACUCACUGGCCCGUUACUGACGCUGAGGCGCGAAAGCGUGGGGAGCAAACAGGAUUAGAAACCCUAGUAGUCC
rnacentral:rRNA from 1 species